UUUGCACUUGGCCGCCGGGCUCAGUCCCCUUCGAAUGCCAGUCUCCGGGUCGACCUGCCUGGCGCAGAGCGUCUGCUAGCUCCGUGCCAAAGUGGACGGGAAUGAGAGAGGUCAUGGGACCUCCCCACCAGGGCGGUGCCAAAAACUUAUCAAAUGGACUCUGUCUGUCCCUGGGCCCACGUGGAGUGCAGACUGUAGGUGUAAUAAGGACAAUUAUUAAACUAUAUUGGUCACAAAACAAUUUGAUGGAGCGCGGCAAACUACCAAAGUCAAAAUAAUAUAUAAUAAAUCUUUCCCCAAAGGAACA